AGAAAAAUGUUUGUGAGAUUUCUAGGCAUUUGUGCCAAGUGCCCAUUAGGAAAGAGCAAUGCUGACUCAAGGCGUGGAAGCCAAAAGCAAACGGUAUAAAUGCUCCAGACAUUUUUGUCUUCCUCACCAGAGUCUUCCAGCUUCCCUUGACUUCUGUUGCUCAGCCUUUCCUGCUGUUGAUUCACACCAGUUGUUCUACAAUGACUACAGCUGCAAUGACACCCAUUAUGAAAUGCAGCAUGCCUAUUGAAGUAUUAACAAAGGCAGCCGACGGAACACUUAGGCCGAUGACAGUGUGGGUGGAGAUGGAGAUUGAUGUUAUGAAACAGGGAACAAACACGACUCUCCCCAACCCCACCCCUGCCCAGAUAACUCAGGCUAGCAUGCAUGCUCCUUCAUCAGCAAUGCAGCUGCCUUCACUGAUGCACCCAAAUUCUUUUGCUUACAAUCUCCCUUCUCAUCCAGCGACAGUUCCUAUACUGAGACGAAGAUGAGCUUGUCUCUCUUUCGAAUGGGAUUGUGAUCCCCCACAGGAACGGGGUGUGGGGAAUGGUACCUGAAAUGCACACCAAGGAUCAACGUCUAAUGGCCAUUUGUCAUGGAUGCUGUAGUUGAGAUUCCUGCAUUGCAGAGGGUUGGACUUGAUGGCCCUUGUGGUCCCUUCCAACUCGACAAUUCUAUGAUUGUAUGGUGUCAGGAAUGCUGAGCCUCCACCAUCCAGACAAACCAGAAUGGAUUGGAUCAAAAGGUUGCUCAGCAUUUCUGACACUCUCGCCUACACAUCCCUGAUCAAUGCUUCUUUGAGCUUUCCUUCUGUCUCUCUUAAGCGCAUCCUUUCUGUUUCCUUUCUAUCACUCAUUGAUGGCACUCUUAAUAUGCUUCAGGCCCGCAAGAGUUCUGAUGCUUCCACUUCCCUGAGAAUCUCUUUCUUCCCCUGUGUUCCUUUGCCUUGUGUCAAUUAUAAAUUCAUCUGUCACUUUAUCAUUUAACUCUUUUGUGGCUGAAAGGAUUGUCGACCUAUUUGAAGACGCUCACCUAAGAAAUGCUUUCAUGAUCUCCUCUUUCCACUACAAUAAACGCUAUCUAUCUGCAUCAUAAUUAUA